GCGGGCGUGGCGAAACUGGCAGACGCGCGGGAUUUAGGUUCCCGUGGGGUAAGACCCGUGCAGGUUCGAGUCCUGUCGCCCGCA
rnacentral:tRNA from 3 species